rnacentral:misc_RNA from 1 species
ACAAAAUCAUACCUUUAACUAUGUUGCAAUGUUUGACAUAUAAUCGAAAAGAUUUUUGUCAAAACUUUCCCUUGUGAUAAUUUAUGGAAGACUUAAUACCUCUUUCAUCUUUUCAACGAGGGAAGGUAUACUUAAAAACUAUUUCAUUUUGUGAGACAUUUUAUUUAAUACUAAUUAAAUGUUUUAA